UCACACAACUCCAGGUUGUUACUACACAUUACAAGUGUCAUCAAGGGAUAACUACAAGUAGAAGCACCAUUUUUGGAUGGAAAAAAACCCUUCAGGAAAGUAUACGUAUCAAAUGUAACAUGUAGUAUAACAAAGUAUGAACAGUAAGGGUUUUACAUACAGUAUUACAUACGUACAUAACUUUUUUUUACAGGAAUUUCCAACCAAGUUUGAUUACAUACAUGUUAUAAACCACUGUACGUAUGGUUACUGUAUGUAACUUACUAAACAUACAUGACUUAACUUAGAUACUUUUUUGGUACAUUCCAGAAUCCCAGGACCCCCUCAAUGAUGCAGGCUAUGGGGCCACAUAAAACUUUGUCCAGGGUUACAUACAUACUCACUAAAAGUUGAACCCCCUGAAUGAUGUAGGCUAUGGGGCCACAUAAGACUUUGUCCAUCCAGGGUUACAUAGCACGACAACUUUAAACUAAAAAACUACCAGACUGGGAUUUUAGUGUACUCCAGGAUGUACAUUACAUACUACAUACUACGUACCAUAAGGAUUUAAAGUGUAUAGUGUAUAAAUUACUACCAUAAGGAUUGACAGUGUCUAGUGUAUAAAUUA